UACAGAGGUCCCAAGCGUUGUUCGGAUUCACUGGGCGUAAAGGGUGCGUAGGUGGUCGGGUAAGUCUGAUGUGAAAUCUCCAAGCUCAACUUGGAAACUGCAUCGGAUACUAUUCGGCUGGAGGGUUGGAGGGGGGACUGGAAUGCUUGGUGUAGCAGUGAAAUGCGUAGAUAUCAAGCGGAACACCAGUGGCGAAGGCGGAGUCCCUGGACAACUCCUGACACUGAGGCACGAAAGCUAGGGGAGCAAACAGG
rnacentral:rRNA from 1 species